UACAGGGGGUGCAAACGUUGCUCGGAAUCAUUGGGCGUAAAGCGCACGUAGGCGGUUCGUUAUGUCGGAUGUGAAAGCCCUGGGCUUAACCUGGGAAUUGCAGUCGAUACUACUCAGCUAGAGUAUGGGAGAGGGUAGUGGAAUUCCCGGUGUAGCGGUGAAAUGCGUAGAUAUCGGGAGGAACAUCAGUGGCGAAGGCGGCUACCUGGCCCAAUACUGACACUCAGGUGCGACAGCGUGGGGAGCAAACAGG
rnacentral:rRNA from 1 species